AUCCAGAUGACGAGUCCCGAAUUGGGACUAAACGCGCGUCCUGGUU
rnacentral:hammerhead_ribozyme from 1 species